rnacentral:rRNA from 1 species
UACGGAGGGUGCAAGCGUUAUCCGGAUUUACUGGGUUUAAAGGGUGCGUAGGUGGGUAAGUAAGUCAGUGGUGAAAUCUUCGAGCUUAACUCGGAAACUGCCAUUGAUACUAUUUAUCUUGAAUACUUUGGAGGUAAGCGGAAUAUGUCAUGUAGCGGUGAAAUGCUUAGAUAUGACAUAGAACACCAAUUGCGAAGGCAGCUUACUACACAGUUAUUGACACUGAGGCACGAAAGCGUGGGGAGCAAACAGG